GUGUUUACAUUCGUUUUCUGCCUGGAAACUUGGUUUCUCUGGGUCAGAGCUUUGGAACGACUGACGGAUUGGAAAUUCACUGGUACAAACUCGGUCAUAAAGGCUUCCCUGGAGCCGGACGACUGGUAGUCGACCUGCACGACUUUCUCCGGGUUUCAGCACAGGGGACGUCCGACUGACAGCCGGGCGAUGACAGCAACAGCAGCUUUGAGACGUCUGGGAGGUCCCAGAAAUCACUUCAAGUCUCCAGUCCAGGACACAGCUGCCUAGGGGAAUCCCAGGGACAGGCGGCAGAGUUUGCAUGGCCUGCAAGGUGAUGGACUCCAAUGUGAUCAUUGCAGAAUUCGCCAAACUCCAAACCACUGGCAGUUGGAACGCACAAGCCCCCUUCUGACGAGGAGGCAAGGGAAGCAAGCUGAGAGGAGGCCCAUUACUUGGCUAGAGAGAGAUGGACCACCUUCUCAGGUCUUCUGGAAGUUGCUGAAACAUGGUGAGGAAGGAAUGUCAUCACUCAUAAGAUGGAAUCAAGAAACUCUUACAACGGAACUAAACCUGAAGUACUUCAAGCCCUGGGACCCCACUUUUGGGUCAUGCUGUUCUCUCUCUCUCUCUCUCUCUCUCUCUCUCUCUCUCUCUCUCUUUCUCUCUCUCUCUCUCUCCAUCUCUCCUGUAUUUCUCUUUUCUUAGCACAGGGAAUUGUACACAGGAAGUGAUUUAACAGGUAUAAUUUUGGUCCCAAAUUAGCAAUGUUUUAUGAAGAUGUUAUUAGAAACUUAGGACUGUCCUGCCAGAGUCACUACAUGCCACCUGGGGAAUCCAGGGAAUGCUCAUGGAACCCUUAAGUCCCGUUAAUAAAAAAUAACAAAGAACUGA